UUGCUACUCCCUCGGACCCAUAUUACUUGUCGAAAUAUUACAUGUGUCUAGACGCUUUUUAAACAUAGAUACAUCCAUAAUUGGGCAAAUUUGAGACAAGUAAUAUGGGUCGGAGGGAGUAGUAC
rfam:Brachypodium distachyon strain Bd21 chromosome 1, whole genome shotgun sequence.